rnacentral:snRNA from 2 species
AUACCUUUCUCGGCCUUUUGGCUAAGAUCAAGUGUAGUAUCUGUUCUUAUCAGUUUAAUAUCUGAUAUGUGGGCCAUGUGCUCAUUUUGAUAUUAAAUUUAUUUUUUGUGGGGGAGGGUUCGCUACAGUGGCUUGCUACUGGGGCCCUCGAGCGUCGCCCAGCCGUUGCGCACUGCUGGCAGGGCCUGGCGCGCCCCAA